GCGCCCUGUGCGCUUAUUACGUUGAAUACGGUACAUUCAAGUAACUUUUGUACAGAAAUGCAUGCAUUAAAUGAAAAACUCAAAUGUAUAAAAACAGCACGCGUAAAUACCCAAUGAAGCUUUUCCAGCUUGCGUACAACGGAGGUCAUUUCCGAAGCACAAUUACGGGCUAAUUUAGUCAAGCCUAUAUACUUAGAACAGUUAUAUACAUCUAAAACAUUAUUUCAUUUUUUUUAAGAUCUUAAAAUGUUCACUAAUUUUGGGAAAAACACAAUAGAGUGAUGAAUAGAUGAGUGAAACAAUAUUGGUUACCCAAUGAAAAAUGUAAUAACCCAAUUAAAAUAGAAACCCAAGAGUAAAAAACUUAAUUGCUCAAAAGGUUAUCUGGAACUCUGUUAAAUGAGGAAAAUUGUAUUAGCAAGUGAAUGCAUGGUGUUUUUUGUGUGAAUAUAUGAUCUCUGUUUGUGUGAAUACAUGAGGUCUAUUUGUAUGGAUACAUGAUGUCUAUAUUCAUGUGAAUACAUGAGGUCUAUUUGUAUGGAUACAUGAUGUCUAUAUUCAUGUGAAUACAUGAGGUCUAUUUGUAUGGAUACAUGAUGUCUAUAUUCAUGUGAAUACAUGAGGUCUAUUUGUAUGGAUACAUGAUGUCUAUAUUCAUGUGAAUACAUGAGGUCUAUUUGCAUGGAUUCAUGAUGUCUAUUUGUAUGGAUACACGAUGUCUAUAUUCAUGUGAAUACAUUUUGUUUAUUCAUGUGAAUACAUGAGGUCUAUUUGUGUGAAUCCAUUUUGUUUAUUCGAGAGGAUACCUGAGGUCUAUUUGUGUGAAUACACGAUGUCUAUAUUCAUGUGAAUACAUGAUGUCUAUUUGUAUGAAUACACGAUGUCUCUAUUCAUGUGAAUACAUGAUGUCUAUUUGUAUGAAUACACGAUGUCUAUAUUCAUGUGAAUACCUGAGGUCUAUUUGUAUGGAUACACGAUGUCUAUAUUCAUGUGAAUACAUGAGGUCUAUUUGUAUGGAUACACGAUGUCUAUAUUCAUGUGAAUACAUGAUGUCUAUUUGUAUGAAUACACGAUGUCUAUAUUCAUGUGAAUACAUGAUGUCUAUUUGUAUGAAUACACGAUGUCUAUAUUCAUGUGAAUACAUGAGGUCUAUUUGUAUGGAUACAUGAUGUCUUUAUUCAUGUGAAUACAUGAGGUCUAUUUGUGUGAAUCCAUUUUGUUUAUUCGAGAGGAUACCUGAGGUCUAUUUGUGUGAAUAUUAUGUCUAUUUGUAUGGAUACACGAUGUCUAUAUUCAUGUGAAUACAUGAGGUCUAUUUGUGUGAAAACAUUUUGUUUAUUCGAGAGGAUACCUGAGGUCUAUUUGUGUGAAUAUUAUGUCUAUUUGUAUGGAUACACGAUGUCUAUAUUCAUGUGAAUACAUGAUGUCUAUUUGUGUGAAUACCUGAGGUCUAUUCAUGUGAAUACAUGAGGUCUAUUUGUAUGGAUACACGAUGUCUAUAUUCAUGUGAAUACAUGAUGUCUAUUUGUAUGGAUACACGAUGUCUCUAUUCAUGUGAAUACAUGAGGUCUAUUUGCAUGGAUACAUGAUGUCUAUAUUCAUGUGAAUACCUGAGGUCUAUUUGUAUGGAUACACGAUGUCUAUAUUCAUGUGAAUACAUGAGGUCUAUUUGUAUGGAUACACGAUGUCUAUAUUCAUGUGAAUACAUGAUGUCUAUUUGUAUGGAUACACGAUGUCUAUAUUCAUGUGAAUACAUGAGUUCUAUUUGUGUGAAUCCAUUUUGUUUAUUCGAGAGGAUACCUGAGGUCUAUUUGUGUGAAUAUGAUGCCUAUGCAUGUGAAUACAUGAUGUCUUGGUGUGAAUACAAUGUCUGUUUAUGUGGA